rnacentral:rRNA from 1 species
GGUCAGGACGAACGCUGGCGGCGUGCUUCAUACAUGCAAGUCGAACGAGAAGCUGACUUCGGUCAGUGGAAAGUGGCGGACGGGUGAGUAAUAUGUAGAGAAUCUGCCCUUGAGUGGGGGACAACAGAGGGAAACUUCUGCUAAUACCCCAUAUGAGCUAACUUGAAAUAGUUAUCUUGAAAACUCCGGUGCUCAAGGAUGAGUCUGCAUCUGAUUAGCUAGUUGGCGGUGUAAUGGACCACCAAGGCGACGAUCAGUAGCUGGUUUGAGAGGAUGAUCAGCCACAAUGGGACUGAGACACGGCCCAUACUCCUACGGGAGGCAGCAGUAGGGAAUUUUGCGCAAUGGGCGAAAGCCCUGACGCAGCAACGCCGCGUGAACGAUUAAGCCCUUCGGGGUGUAAAGUUCUGUCAGUAGGGACGAAUUUUGACGGUACCUACAGAGGAAGCACCGGCUAACUCCGUGCCAGCCGCUGC